rnacentral:rRNA from 1 species
UACGAAGGGGGCUAGCGUUGUUCGGAAUUACUGGGCGCAAAGCGCACGUAGGCGGAUAUUUAAGUCAGGGGUGAAAUCCCAGAGCUCAACUCUGGAACUGCCUUUGAUACUGGGUAUCUUGAGUAUGGAAGAGGUAAGUGGAAUUGCGAGUGUAGAGGUGAAAUUCGUAGAUAUUCGCAGGAACACCAGUGGCGAAGGCGGCUGACUGGGCCAUUACUGACGCUGAGGCGCGAAAGCAUGGGUAGCGAACAGG